rnacentral:rRNA from 1 species
ACGUAGGGGGCAAGCGUUGUCCGGAAUCAUUGGGCGUAAAGCGCGCGUAGGCGGCCCGGUAAGUCCGCUCUGAAAGUCCAGGGCUCAACCCUGGAAAGCGGGUGGAUACUGCCGGGCUAGAAUCCGGAAGAGGCGAGUGGAAUUCCAGGUGUAGCGGUGAAAUGCGUAGAGAUCUGGAGGAACACCGAUGGCGAAGGCAGCCUUCUGGGCCAACACUGACGCUCAUGCACGAAAGCGUGGGGAGCAAACAGGA